rnacentral:rRNA from 1 species
AUUGAACGCUUGCGGCAGGCUUAACACAUGCAAGUCGAACGAUGAAACUCUAGCUUGCUAGAGAAGAUUAGUGGCGGACGGGUGAGUAACAUUUAGGAAUCUGCCUAGUAGUGGGGGAUAGCUCGGGGAAACUCGAAUUAAUACCGCAUACGACCUACGGGUGAAAGGGGGCGCAAGCUCUUGCUAUUAGAUGAGCCUAAAUCAGAUUAGCUAGUUGGUGGGGUAAAGGCCCACCAAGGCGACGAUCUGUAACUGGUCUGAGAGGAUGAUCAGUCACACCGGAACUGAGACACGGUCCGGACUCCUACGGGAGGCAGCAGUGGGGAAUAUUGGACAAUGGGGGCAACCCUGAUCCAGCCAUGCCGCGUGUGUGAAGAAGGCCUUUUGGUUGUAAAGCACUUUAAGCAGGGAGGAGAGGCUAAUGGUUAAUACCCAUUAGAUUAGACGUUACCUGCAGAAUAAGCACCGGCUAACUCUGUGCCAGCAGCCGCGGUAAUACAGAGGGUGCGAGCGUUAAUCGGAAUUACUGGGCGUAAAGCGAGUGUAGGUGGCUCAUUAAGUCACAUGUGAAAUCCCCGGGCUUAACCUGGGAACUGCAUGUGAUACUGGUGGUGCUAGAAUAUGUGAGAGGGAAGUAGAAUUCCAGGUGUAGCGGUGAAAUGCGUAGAGAUCUGGAGGAAUACCGAUGGCGAAGGCAGCUUCCUGGCAUAAUAUUGACACUGAGAUUCGAAAGCGUGGGUAGCAAACAGGAUUAGAUACCCUGGUAGUCCACGCCGUAAACGAUGUCUACUAGCCGUUGGGGUCCUUGAGACUUUAGUGGCGCAGUUAACGCGAUAAGUAGACCGCCUGGGGAGUACGGCCGCAAGGUUAAAACUCAAAUGAAUUGACGGGGGCCCGCACAAGCGGUGGAGCAUGUGGUUUAAUUCGAUGCAACGCGAAGAACCUUACCUGGUCUUGACAUAGUGAGAAUCCUGCAGAGAUGCGGGAGUGCCUUCGGGAAUUCACAUACAGGUGCUGCAUGGCUGUCGUCAGCUCGUGUCGUGAGAUGUUGGGUUAAGUCCCGCAACGAGCGCAACCCUUUUCCUUAUUUGCCAGCGGGUUAAGCCGGGAACUUUAAGGAUACUGCCAGUGACAAACUGGAGGAAGGCGGGGACGACGUCAAGUCAUCAUGGCCCUUACGACCAGGGCUACACACGUGCUACAAUGGUAGGUACAGAGGGUUGCUACACAGCGAUGUGAUGCUAAUCUCAAAAAGCCUAUCGUAGUCCGGAUUGGAGUCUGCAACUCGACUCCAUGAAGUCGGAAUCGCUAGUAAUCGCAGAUCAGAAUGCUGCGGUGAAUACGUUCCCGGGCCU